CUUGCUUUUGAUGGGCGUCGACCGGCGCACGGGUGAGUAACGCGUAUCCAACCUGCCCACCACUUGGGGAUAACCUUGCGAAAGUAAGACUAAUACCCAAUGACGUCUCUAGAAGACAUCUGAAGGAGAUUAAAGAUUUAUCGGUGAUGGAUGGGGAUGCGUCUGAUUAGCUUGUUGGCGGGGUAACGGCCCACCAAGGCGACGAUCAGUAGGGGUUCUGAGAGGAAGGUCCCCCACAUUGGAACUGAGACACGGUCCAAACUCCUACGGGAGGCAGCAGUGAGGAAUAUUGGUCAAUGGGCGAGAGCCUGAACCAGCCAAGUAGCGUGCAGGAUGACGGCCCUAUGGGUUGUAAACUGCUUUCAUAAGGGAAUAAAGUGAGUCUCGUGAGACUUUUUGCAUGUACCUUAUGAAUAAGGACCGGCUAAUUCCGUGCCAGCAGCCGCGGUAAUACGGAAGGUCCGGGCGUUAUCCGGAUUUAUUGGGUUUAAAGGGAGCGUAGGCCGGAGAUUAAGCGUGUUGUGAAAUGUAGAUGCUCAACAUCUGAACUGCAGCGCGAACUGGUUUCCUUGAGUACGCACAAAGUGGGCGGAAUUCGUGGUGUAGCGGUGAAACGCUUAGAUACCACGAAGAACUCCGAUUGCGAAGGCAGCUCACUGGAGCGCAACUGACGCUGAAGCUCGAAAGUGCGGGUAUCGAACAGGAUUAGAUACCCUGGUAGUCCGCACGGUAAACGAUGGAUGCCCGGUGUUGG
rnacentral:rRNA from 1 species